UACAGAGGGGGCAAGCGUUAUUCGGAAUUAUUGGGCGUAAAGGGCGCGUAGGCGGUCCAUCGCGUCGGGAGUGAAAAGCUGGGGCUUAACCCCAGUCCUGCUUCCGAUACGGGUGGACUAGAGGUAGGUAGGGGAGAACGGAAUUCCUGGUGUAGCGGUGAAAUGCGCAGAUAUCAGGAGGAACACCGGUGGCGAAGGCGGUUCUCUGGGCCUUACCUGACGCUGAGGAGCGAAAGCAUGGGGAGCAAACAGG
rnacentral:rRNA from 1 species